UUAUCCAUGUACAUACAUACAUAUAUACACACAUAUAUUUAUGCCUGUAUACAAAGCGUUGGGCCGCCCGUUUUUAGGGUCAGUUUCGUGUAAAUCACGUAGCUGUUGUUAUUAGACGGCAGCCGCAGCUGAAGAGUAGCGAGAGAGAGAGAGAGAGAG